GGGGAAUAUUGGACAAUGGGGGCAACCCUGAUCCAGCCAUGCCGCGUGAGUGACGAAGGCCUUAGGGUUGUAAAGCUCUUUUGGCGGGGACGAUAAUGACGGUACCCGCAGAAUAAGCCCCGGCUAACUUCGUGCCAGCAGCCGCGGUAAUACGAAGGGGGCUAGCGUUGUUCGGAAUCACUGGGCGUAAAGAGCACGUAGGCGGACUUGUUAGUCAGGGGUGAAAUCCCGGGGCUCAACCCCGGAACUGCCCUUGAAACUGCAAGUCUUGAGUCCGAGAGAGGUGAGUGGAAUUCCUAGUGUAGAGGUGAAAUUCGUAGAUAUUAGGAAGAACACCAGUGGCGAAGGCGGCUCACUGGCUCGGUACUGACGCUGAGGUGCGAAAGCGUGGGGAGCAAAC
rnacentral:rRNA from 1 species